rnacentral:rRNA from 1 species
GACGAACGCUGGCGGCGUGCUUAACACAUGCAAGUCGAACGAAGUGGCGAACGGGUGAGUAACGCGUAAUCAACCUGCCCUUCAGAGGGGGACAACAGUUGGAAACGACUGCUAAUACCGCAUACUGAAGGAGGGGAUUGCGUCGGAUUAGCUAGUUGGAGGGGUAACGGCCCACCAAGGCGAUGAUCAGUAGCCGGGCUUGGAGGGUGAACGGCCAAAUUGGGACUGGGACACGGCCCAGACUCCGACGGGAGGCAGCAGUGGGGAAUCUUCCGCAAUGGACGGAAGUCUGACGGAGCAACGCCGCGGGGGUGAAGGCGGCCUUCGGGUUGGAAAGCUCUGUUAAUCGGGACGCGGUACCGGAAUAGAAAGCCACGGCUAACUACGUGCCAGCAGCCGCGGUAAUUC